AAUAGUGGAACUCAGGCUAAGGUCGCGCCGUCCUGCGGCAACGCCUGAGUAACCAAUAUUCGGUAGG
rnacentral:sRNA from 1 species